rnacentral:lncRNA from 1 species
GCAGGAGGAAUGAUAUGAAGGCAGGUAAUGGCCACACCCUUAGUGGCCGUUUAAGUAAUGAGGGACCAUAAUCAUUUCACUAUAGUUAUGAUGGAUAUAUAUUUUAUUGUGUGAGGGAUGGGAAGGAAGAGUUGAUGUUGGCAUAACAGAAAUCAGAUGCAGUCAGGAAAUUUGUUGAAAUAAUUCAGAAUUUGACAGUAACUGGAACACUAAUGGUCAUAUAAAAAAUCGGUAAGGUGUACAUACGCUUUGAGGAAUUCAGACUUCCCGAAUGGGUUGUAUGAGUUCUGAAAGAAAGGAUUUAACAAUAACUUCAUGGAUUUGGGCCUGAUUAACUAAAACUCUUAAAUCUUUGUCUAGGAUGCAUCCUUGUUCCUGUUUGUGCUAAUGGCUUUCGGUAGAAAAAUGUUAAUCAAAAUCCAAGUUGGAAUCACAUAUGAGAGUCACUUGUUGAAACACCUGAGUGUAUUGAUGCUUACGAAUGCUUCUGUACACAGGAUUACUGAAAGGAGAAAUCCCAUUUUUGUUGUACUCAAAUAUCUUAAACUAGGACAUCCACUAAGUGAGAACAAAUGAAAUAAAAAUCAUCAGGACCCUGAAGCAGCACAUUGAGUUCCUCUUUGGGAAGGUGAUUGUUGAACCAUGAGACUGCCUUGGGGGAAGCUUUUCUGGGCAGACAGAAGACCUCAGAAGUUCUGAGAAGGAAGAAGGUGUUUUAUUUUCCAGGGAAAGCUAGUGGGUCUGUGAGAAAGGGGAAGUACCUUGGAGGCUGGGCAGACAUAGUCUGUAAAAAUUCCUGGUCUGGAAUCCUUUAGGAUGGCAAGCUUUUGUAGUUCUUAUAAAAUUAUUUCCAUUAAAAAUGUUCAGAUUUUCUAAAGCUUUAUGAGUUACUCUUGACAGUUUACAUGUUGGUAGAAAAUAUGUUUUCAUUUUGAGAUAAUGACAAGAUAAAUUUCAGCUUUCUUGUUAAAUUUUAUUUAUCUGCUUCUAACUUUUAUAGUCUUAUUUUCCUUUGAUGUGUGUCCCCUAUCAAGACACCUUAGUAAUAACAAUAGUAUAAUAAUAACAAUGAAAUUCCUACCAUAUGGAGCUUAUGCUUUCAUGUAAAAUGUAGAAAUUAAAUAUCUGGUAAAGAAUAAAAAUAUAUACUAUGCAAGAGAAUAUCA